CAGACAUUUCUCCCUACAAUAAGAAUGUUACAGACUCUGUUAUGCUGCAUCUCACUGUGGAUUCCAUAUGCUCAAUCACAGACACCGGUGCUGACACCUCAGGUUGGGUCAGUUAGUCCUGGGCAAAGUUUUACAUUUAACUGCAAUGUAGGAGUUAAGGAUGGUGGUUGGAUGGCUUUUAUUAAAAAAUUACCUGGGGAGCCUCCUAAAAAUAUUUUUAGCAACCAUCACUCAUUAUCAACCCCAAGCUACGGACCUGGGAUGUCAUCAGCUCACUUCACCGGCACAAUAAACAGCGCUGGAACUGAAUAUCAGCUGAUUAUUAAAGAUACACAGAUUGCAGACACAUCUGUCUAUUACUGUGUAAACUGGUAUGCCAGCAUUAAUGCAUAUCACAGUAAUACAGAGCCUGACAAAAAGUCAAUGAACGUAAAACAGGAAGCAGAAUUAAAAAAAAAAAAUCUCAAGAGCUAUUAG